rnacentral:sRNA from 1 species
AAAAUUCCCCGCUACCAGGACAAGCGGUCCUGCAGUCUUAAUGACGAACUUUGCGGAGGUUGAACUUUCCUUGGAUCUGAAGCAGAACCUUUGUGGAAAAAAUAGUGAAGUGACCGAGUCUUAUCCGACAGCGGGACGUCUAUUAAAGUGGAUCAACACCCUAUUACCCCAAAUUCAUCGCCCACAAUCGAAGGAGGAUCUUCAGAAAACCAUCGAAAUCUGUGCGUUAAAGGCCUUCAGAACAAUAUUUUUCGAAUGUCAUCGAUGUAUUUCUAUUUUUCUAUAAAAGUCA